UACAGGGGGGGCAAGCGUUGUUCGGAAUUACUGGGCGUAAAGGGCUCGUAGGCGGCCAACUAAGUCGGACGUGAAAUCCCCAGGCUCAACCUGGGAACUGCGUCCGAUACUGGAUGGCUUGAAUCCGGGAGAGGGAUGCAGAAUUCCAGGUGUAGCGGUGAAAUGCGUAGAUAUCUGGAGGAAUACCGGUGGCGAAGGCGGCAUCCUGGACCGGCAUUGACGCUGAGGAGCGAAAGCUAGGGGAGCAAACGGG
rnacentral:rRNA from 1 species